rnacentral:rRNA from 1 species
GCAGUAGCCGCGGUAAUACGUAGGUGGCAAGCGUUGUCCGGAAUUAUUGGGCGUAAAGCGCGCGCAGGUGGUUUAAUAAGUCUGAUGUGAAAGCCCACGGCUCAACCGUGGAGGGUCAUUGGAAACUGUUAAACUUGAGUGCAGGAGAGAAAAGUGGAAUUCCUAGUGUAGCGGUGAAAUGCGUAGAGAUUAGGAGGAACACCAGUGGCGAAGGCGGCUUUUUGGCCUGUAACUGACACUGAGGCGCGAAAGCGUGGGGAGCAAACAGGAUUAGAUACCCCCGUAGUCCCUGUCUCUUAUAC